UACGUAGGGGGCGAGCGUUGUCCGGAUUUAUUGGGCGUAAAGAGCUCGUAGGCGGUUCGGCAAGUCGACGGUGAAAUCUCCACGCUCAACGUGGAGGGGUCCGUCGAUACUGCCGUGACUCGAGUCCGGUAGGGGAGAAUGGAAUUCCUGGUGUAGCGGUGAAAUGCGCAGAUAUCAGGAAGAACACCCGUGGCGAAAGCGGCUCUCUGGAACGGUACUGACGCUGAGACGCGAAAGCGUGGGGAGCGAACAGG
rnacentral:rRNA from 1 species